AUGAACGCUGGCGGCGUGCCUCAUACAUGCCAGUCGCGCGAACAGACGAGGAGCUUGCUCCUCUGACGUUAGCGGCGGACGGGUGAGUAACACGUGGAUAACCUACCUAUAAGACUGGGAUAACUUCGGGAAGCCGGAGCUAAUACCGGAUAAUAUAUUGAACCGCAUGGUUCAAUAGUGAAAGACGGUUUUGCUGUCACUUAUAGAUGGAUCCGCGCCGCAUUAGCUAGUUGGUAAGGUAACGGCUUACCAAGGCAACGAUGCGUAGCCGACCUGAGAGGGUGAUCGGCCACACUGGAACUGAGACACGGUCCAGACUCCUACGGGAGGCAGCAGUAGGGAAUCUUCCGCAAUGGGCGAAAGCUUGACGGAGCAACGCCGCGUGAGUGAUGAAGGUCUUCGGAUCGUAAAACUCUGUUAUUAGGGAAGAACAAAUGUGUAAGUAACUAUGCACGUCUUGACGGUACCUAAUCAGAAAGCCACGGCUAACUACGUG
rnacentral:rRNA from 1 species